AAAAGAAAAGGGAAGGAAAGAAAGAAAAUUUGGGAUUUCAAGGUUCAAGGUUUGAUUGCGUCGUACCGGAAUUCUCGACUAAAAAGGGGAAAAAUAUAUUCGACAUCGAAUAGCUCGGAAUUCCUGGUUAAGUACUUAAGUUUGAUCGCUGAUUCAGCACCCAACAAUGAUCCCGAACUCAAAUAUGAUGAUGUUUAUUUCUUUGUGUCGGCAUGUACCUAGAGUGUCUAAAUAUUAGUUAUUUUGUGGUUUGAUUGUCAAUGAAGUUAUAAAAUCUAUUUUGGAGAGUUUAUAAUUUGGAUUAAAAUGAUGCUUUGAUGACUUGUUUUAAUGAUGUAAAAUGUUUGAGAUUUCUGUCUGUUUAAUCUGUAAUCUCCGGUAAUAUUUCGUAACCCAGUUUCGACGAGGGAUACGAGUUAGAGGUGUUACAGUAAUAAUUUAUUUUCCACUUCAACUUUUAACUGUAUGC